AAGUUCAGACAUGUUUCAGGCUGACCAGUAUGACACAAAGGACAUUUCAAGAAGCAGAAAACAUACUCCUCACUCAUUGAUGGACUUCAAGGAAGACAUAAUAAAAAGAACACACAAGAGUUUGAGGAAGACAUUGAAAGGCAAGUGAAGACAAUUGCCUUCAUCGGUGAUCAACCUACUUCAGGAUUUGACCACAAGACGGCAACCAUUGUGGUUGAGGGCAUCAAAAUCCUGAAUGGAAUGGAUAUCUCAAGGUGCUGUGCUCUGCUGAUGGGCAUACUAUAUGCUCUGAAUCUGAGUUACCCCAAGGAACUUAAAUAUACCUGUGAAGUGUUUCAGAAGCUGUUUCUUGAACUUGAUGGACUGAAACCCAGUGCAAAAGUAAUGCGUCUGAAGAACAAUAUUUUCUGAAAUCUCUGCUUGUUCCAGAGGAAAUUUUGUUCACUUUUUUAUUUUUAUUUUUUUGUAAUUUGAAGUCUACUGUAGGCUGAACUUUGUGUUAUAUUUCAUACUGCUUGAAAAACUGAGGUUAAUAUAUGAAUGUCAGUAGCAUUUAUAUAUGCUUGUUUGUGACAGUAGCAAUCUUAGAUGUUUUAAAAAUGGGGUUUACUGUGAAGAAAUAGUUUUAAAGUUUAAAGAUUUACAGAUUGUUUGACACUGUGGAAAAAUAUGUAAAUGCCAAUAACUUUGCUGUGUUGGAAUUAAUUCAUUGUGAUGGCGUAACUGAGUAUGCAUACAAAAGGCAAAUCUGUAGGGCCAGUUUGUUUAUAAGUUGUGGGGAGCACACAUUUUUGUUUUGUAAAUUGUGCAAAGUGCAAAAUUUUGAAAC